UAUUAGUUUAGUAUAAUAUAAAAGAAGUUGGUGGUUGUUAUUGAAAGGUAAAAGUGUGUUGUGGAUAGGUUUGUGUCCGUACUGUGCAGAGCAGGCCAAGGGAGGACAACACAGCACCAGACGUGACACAGAAAGGCACUGUGUUCAAAGGGUGCCAUAAACUGUGGCUUUAUUUAAUGUAUUUUGGCAGAACAAGACAGUGACAGGGCCGUGGGUGCCUGCGUGUGCUGGUGCAAGCUUGGUGCCUGCCUGGAGGUGCCUACAGGGAGGUGCCUACAGGGCCACCAAGGCUAAUAUUGAUACAAAUGUAGAGGGACGAAAUAGAGAAGCAGGAAGACCACCACCACCACCACCAGCAGUGUGGAAGAAAGCUGGUGAUAAAACUCUCUCUCGCUCUCCCUCACUCUCCCUCACUCUCCCACGCCACGGAAGCAGUGGAAUAAAGCACAGGAGGAGGAAGUGAGAGGAUAAUGAAGUUUGGAAGUUUGUGAUACGUAAGAAGAUAGUAAUUGACGAACACAACACACCACGUGGAGAGAAGCAAGGUGUGGAGUACCCAAGCCUCUCACAGUCCAUGCUAGUAGACUCACCCUGCAUGUGGAGAUCUCCCAAAAUGCACGGAGGUUAUUCCAGAGCUGCAGGACAGAGUACUUGAGGCCAUUGGUGAACAGAAAGCUGAGGUUGAACAAAGCCAAGAAUUGAUAGCUGCCCAAGGUGUAAGCAAGAUUCACAAUGAUGAGGUCAUUGUGACGUGUGCAAUGUGUCCACUGGUCUUGGCCUUCCUGACCAAGGCAGCCACACAAAGGAAAUUCCACGUUAUUGUUGCCGAACGUGCCCCUAAAUAUGAUGGUCACCCAGUGGCAAAAGCUUUAUGUACUGCUGGAAUUGAGACAACAUUAAUUCAAGACUCUGCAGUGUUCCCCAUCAUGUCACGUGUCAACAAGGUCAUCAAAGGUCAUCGUUGGCACCGAGACGGUGGUGACCAACGGAGGCAUUGAGAACUUUGUUGGUGCAGCCUCUCUUGCCUCACCACCAAAGUUUUAUUCUGUUUCACUGUAUGUGUGCACUCCCACAUACAAAUUUAGCUUGAUGGGCUGUGAAGAAAUAAGCCACCAAACCACCACUUCUGUUAUCCCAGAGGGAACAAAGUUUUGGCCGUCUGUAAAUACUGCACUGACUCAGCUAGAUUACGUUCCUCCAGAAAAUGUCACCAGUUUGAUAACUAACAAUCGAGGUACUGCACCAUCCUACGUGUACCGGCAGCUUAGCAAACUGUACCGUCCCACUUCUUGUGAUCUCUAAGGUCUCCGUGAACACUGAUGCUCUUCCUGUGCACGUAGUGAACUGCUGACACCAGGUUCCUCACGACGACCGAAGCCCGAGGCAAGCCUCUGUGAACCUCUCGUGUUUCCUGAUCCUCUGAAGCAGCCAGCUCUCCACCUCCAAGGAGCUCCAUCACAAUGUAGGUGUGUGCCUGUGAAACCAACAUGAAUUAGAUACAGGCAUACAAUGAUUAAAUGCAAGGAAAAGAAAAUAAUAUGAUCUUAAACUAAUUGUUACUUAAACUGUUACUGAUAAAUCCUGUUGUUUUAUAUUGUAAUUCUACACAGUAAAAAUAUAGAUUUGAAAA